UACGGAGGGUGCGAGCGUUGUCCGGAAUCACUGGGCGUAAAGGGCGCGUAGGCGGCGCGGGAAGUCAUCGGUGAAAGUUCAGGGCUCAACUCUGAAUCGGCCGGUGAUACUCUCGUGCUCGAGCACUGUAGAGGCAGGUGGAAUUCCGGGUGUAGCGGUGGAAUGCGUAGAGAUCCGGAAGAACACCGGUGGCGAAGGCGGCCUGCUGGGCAGUGGCUGACGCUGAUGCGCGACAGCGUGGGGAGCAAACGAGG
rnacentral:rRNA from 1 species